rnacentral:rRNA from 1 species
AGUAACACGUGGAUAACCUACCUAUAAGACUGGGAUAACUUCGGGAAACCGGAGCUAAUACCGGAUGAUAUUUUGAACCGCAUGGUUCAAAAGUGAAAGACGGUCUUGCUGUCACUUAUAGAUGGAUCCGCGCUGCAUUAGCUAGUUGGUAAGGUAACGGCUUCCCAAGGCAACGAUGCAUAGCCGACCUGAGAGGGUGAUCGGCCACACUGGAACUGAGACACGGUCCAG